rfam:Cytophagaceae bacterium SCN 52-12 ABS46_C0056, whole genome shotgun sequence.
GUCAAAUGGAGACCAGCAACCAUCCAAACGGGGCGAAACCGAAAAGCCAGACGAGUAGGACCGUA